GGCAUGGUGGUUUAGUGGUUAGCACGUUCGCCUCGCACCUCCAGCGUUCGGGCUUCGAGUCCCGCCGUGGCC